GCGUGUGUGAAGAAGGCCUGCGGGUUGUAAAGCACUUUCAGUAGAGAAGAAAAGCAUGGGGUUAAUACCCCCGUGUCUUGACGUUACCUACAGAAGAAGCACCGGCUAACUCCGUGCCAGCAGCCGCGGUAAUACGGAGGGUGCGAGCGUUAAUCGGAAUUACUGGGCGUAAAGCGCGCGUAGGCGGUUGUGUAAGUCGGAUGUGAAAGCCCUGGGCUUAACCUGGGAAUUGCAUUCGAUACUGCUCAACUAGAGUAUGGGAGAGGGAAGUGGAAUUUCCGGUGUAGCGGUGAAAUGCGU
rnacentral:rRNA from 1 species